rnacentral:lncRNA from 1 species
GGGCAAGAACAUCACAAGUCUGAGCCCAGUGCGGGGAACUCGGCACCUGAACAAGACCCCAGCUCCAAAUAAAACUGUUUGGGGAAGGCUGUGGAUGCAGCGAAGUGCAAAGGCCCUAGAUUCAACCCGCAGUACUGCAAAAUAAACAAUAUUUUAAGAGGUGCCUUCUUGUCCCCCAUAUCAACAGAGUCCAUGGGCCACUGUGGUCUGCUUGCAGGAGGACAGGCAGCCCCCUGCACUGGGACACUUUGAGAGGUCAAAGCCCCCUGAGCACCCAGCAGACCAGGAAGACACCGAGAAGGGCCUCCUAUUCAAUGACCCGCUCCUCUAAGACCACAGCUGUGUGGCCUAAGUGGCCACAGAGCCCAGUCUACAGGCCCAUGAGGAUCGCGCACAUUCUGCCCG